UGGAGCGUGAUGUCACGGGGGUGGGGAUGGAAAGGAUUUUGGCCUGAUGCACCAUUUUCGUGGUCAAAAUAAAGCGCAAGCGAAAAAGGAGCGAAGAUGUCGUGAGGUGCCAUGACAAGAAGGAGUGACUGAGAGGAUCAUCCACAAGAUGGGAGCUGAGGCCUAGAGAAAGUCUUCAGGAGGAUCAGAGAUCACCUUCAGCACAGAGAGCUGUGCUACUGGGCUUCCAGGAGAUUGUCAUGUGGAGACUCUGCACAGCAAAAUCUUAAAUAAGAUAAGAGUUUCGACGUUGACGUUGAGGAAGACAACUAAGCUGUACGACGUGCUCUGUCUUAAAAAUCUUCAGCACCGUUGGAACGUGAGAACCUGAGGGAGCGUGCCAAGCUCCAAAAAGUGACAGCGCAGAGGAGGUCCAGCGAUGGACUUGUGGUUCUGUAAACAGCACAAAUACCAGGUGACUGUGAAAAACCUAACAGCACUUUUUCCACAGGUGAAGCCAGUAACUUACUAUCCUAACAGAUUAGCUCUAGUUGCUUGUGCUUUACCUCCAUGCGUGAGAUCAGUAUGUGCUUCUUUCGUUUUGCCAAUGAAAGAAGAGGGCACUUCUCACGAGUGUAGAGAGCACGUGGAGAAGCAGUGUGAGCCAGGGAUGACUUAACAGAUGUGCCACUUGUUGAGGGAAAGGUUUGGUUUGUUGAUGGGUUGAGUUUUACAACAGCAGAGGGACAGACUAAAACAGGUUUUACUGUAGUAGAUGGUGAGAAAGUUAUCUGUGCAGGACAACUAGCAUGUUUCAUAUUUGCUUGGGCAGCAGAGAUAGUAGCUUUAACGGAAGCGUGUAAUGCUGAAGAGAGACAAAAUACACUGAUAGCCAAUAUGCAUUUGCUACAUUACACUUCUUUAUAGUGCAGUGGGUGAGACGAGGUGUGACAACCUCUAUAGGGAAGCCUGUAGAACACGCCAAACUCUUGCAAAAUCUGCUGGAGGCAGUGUUAUUGCCCUGUAGAAUUGCCAUUUGUAAAUGUGUAGCACACAUGUGAGGGAAAGAUCCAGUUGCAUUAAGGAAUGCUUUUGCACAUAGGAUCGCAAGAGAGGCAACUUUAGGAAAACAUGGUGUUAACAUUUUAGCACUGCAACACCAGUAGACGUUGCCUGUUAUGCGAGAUGCACUGGCAGACAUGCAGGCCCACUCACCUACCUACUGCAGGAAAACAGUUGUAACUUACAGAAGGAGCGAGCUUGCAGGAUGGUGUUUAUUAUCUGUGUGAUAAACCAAUACUGUCUUAGAAUUUGUAUAAGACUGCUGCUAUUUUGAGCCAUGGGCUAUGCCAUGUCUCCACAGGGGGGAGAAGAUGAUGGCAGCAGUAGUUUAUACUCUAGGAUUAAAUACCUUUUAAAAAAAAAAUUUUGCAGGGAGAGAGAACUAAUGGAACAGUAAUGCUAAGACUCAGGAAGUCAAUGGAAGAGACAGGCAGGACAUGGUUAGACUGUGUAGAAUUAGUUAAGAUGUACAUGAGGAUUACUCUAACAGAGAACGGUCUGACUCUUUGAGAUUAUAUAUGUUAGAGCAUUUAGAGUUCUAGUCUUCUGUAGUGAUGAUAGAAGAGCAGAAGAGAGAGCAUAUUAGCAGAUUAGAUGCUUAAAAUGUUUAAAAAUAAAGAAGUCUUGAGAACAAAUGAUCUGCCAGAUGAUUCUGUUUCUCCGCAGGAGCAGAGUCUGGAGAUUGGAUGUUGAUAAGGCCAUGGAGAGGAAGUGCUGGUCCAGUCCACGGUGGGAAGGUCCCUAUCAGGUGCUGCUGACGACGCUCACAGCAGUGAAGAUUGCUGGAAGAAACACUUGGAUACAUCAAGCGCACUGCAAGAAGGUAACACACUUCCUGGCCGACUCUGGGUGAUGGUGAAAAGGCCAGCGGUACAAAAGGGGGGAGUAUAUCUCUAGGACCUCUCGUCUCAAUCCUGGUGAAGAAACCAGCGGAUCCAGAACCCAACUUAGAAUGGCUGGGAAUGUGCUGUUCGCCUUCUUGACCCUGUGGACCCCGAGUGGGAUGACAGGGAGCGCACUGGGACGGAGCAAACCACACCCAGUACCCGCAUGGGUUUUCAACUAACUACUGGUGGCAGUUUAAGAACAAAACCGCUCACAUAAAGAACGAGACCAAUUGUUAUGCUAGUGAUGCCACUGGCUACACAUUCUUCUGGACUGUGGCCAUAUAGCAUCACUGAGAGCGAGUUGUUUGGUUGCCUUAGCAACACAUCCAGGAGUUAAAGUACUUGGAACACUGCCAACUUUUCAACUCCUCUGAACCUGAAUGGAAGGUUGAUUCACCAGUAGCUGGGAAGGUGAACUGCUCUGGUAAGACAGACCUGCUAGUCUGACUCCAAGAAUCUGACUUGCUGCAGGACAUUGAACAGCUAAACAAACUGGAAACAGGCCAGUUGCCUAUGUGUAUGAAGGGCAAUGGAUUAGUCCAAGUUGGAGAUUUACCAUGGAAUUUGUGCAAGAUCACCUAUUCUUUGUGUCCUCUGCAAGAAGGAUGUAAACAGAGAAGCUUUUGUCUACAUUUACAUCACGAACACUUCUCUAAGCUGGUUGAGGUUUUGAACCAAGAAGAUCAAAACACCUUGAUCCAAUUUCCUUUACAAAGCUUUUCCUGCGGCCACAACAGUUUCCCUUUGUAAUUUCAGAGCUGCACAUUUGCAAAUUGCUAAAUGUCGUAUCACAUGAGGAGUUUCCUCCCAUGUAAACAUAUGUGUGCCAUGAUAGAACCUUCCUCCACACACUAGAAAUAAGAAACUAAUUUCAACCCUCUGUUACAUCUUAUUCACUUAUUUUAUAAUCAAGUCAUUUUUUCUAAUCUAGUAUCAGUCAACUAAUUUGCAUAUCAGCUCAUAAUGCGUUAAGUUGAUAGGUCAACAGAAAUGUACGUUCAAAAUAUUAUCACAAAAGAGAAUUUCCUUCAUACAGUAAAUUACUUGUGUUGCAUCAAUCAAACAGAAAGCAUCUCACAAUUUAUUGUAUUACCAACUAAAUUUAUUGUCUGAUUACUGCUUGGUCAUACCAGACUCUCUCUGUCUUUAUUUUUUUCUUUUCUUCUCUAUUUUCACAAAUGUUUCACCUAUCGUUCUGCAAGCUGGAGAGUUAAAUGUCAGCAGUGGAUAAAUUCAGUAUUUGAUAACAAAACUCUGUUAAGUUUUCCCUGCUUUAACACCAAUGAGAGAUAUAGGCACAUGUAUAGUGUGUGUUAUAGUGUAAGCUGUUCUUCAUUGCAUGUAUGUGUGUUAGUACGCUUGCAUGCAGGGCCUCUGGGCCUGUCUCACCAGAUCAAUCAGUAUGUAGUUUUAUUUUGCAUCAUACUUCUGAGUUAAAAGAAUGUGAAAAUCAUUAGAUUUAUUAGAUAGGUUUGUUUUAUCCUAUACUGCUGAUUUACUGUGAGUGAGUUACACUGUUUCAUGACAUUUCAUACUGCUGAGUUAUGAAGAGAAUAUUGUGUUCAGAGAGUCAGGGCCUUUUUUAAAAAAAAAAAUUUUUGUAGGACGUGCGGCAGCCCCGCAGCACACUUUCAAAGUAGAGCUGAAGGCUGAAGGCUACUAAUAAACGAGGUAUGUUCAACAUAAAACCUGAGUUCUCUGUGUCACGAAGGUGUCUCUCUUUUACCCUGGCCACA
ensembl:lncRNA